rnacentral:rRNA from 1 species
UACGGAGGGGGCAAGCGUUAUUCGGAAUUACUGGGCGUAAAGGGCUCGUAGGCGGCCAACUAAGUCAGACGUGAAAUCCCCAGGCUCAACCUGGGAACUGCGUCUGAUACUGGAUGGCUUGAAUUCGGGAGAGGGAUGCAGAAUUCCAGGUGUAGCGGUGAAAUGCGUAGAUAUCUGGAGGAAUACCAGUGGCGAAGGCGACUUCCUGGCCUGUUCUUGACGCUGAGGCGCGAAAGCUAGGGGAGCAAACGGG